rnacentral:rRNA from 1 species
UACGGGGGGGGUAAGCGUUGUUCGGAAUUAUUGGGUUUAAAGGGUGCGUAGGCGGCCCGUUAAGUCAGUGGUGAAAGCCUCCAGCUCAACUGGAGAACUGCCAUUGAUACUGACGGGCUUGAGUACAGACGAGGUUGGCGGAAUUGAUUGUGUAGCGGUGAAAUGCAUAGAUACAAUCAAGAACUCCGAUUGCGUAGGCAGCUAACUAGGCUGUAACUGACGCUGAGGCACGAAAGCGUGGGGAGCGAACAGG